ACCUGGAACAGAACAACAGAACAGUUCAUCUCAGAACCUGCUGGUACAGGGACGUGGGUCCUGGAUAAUCACCUUGCUGUCCACUCUCAGCCUCCCUCAGACCUGCCCACGGGAUGUUUACCAUCUACCUGACAUUCUCUUCUCUACCGCAUCAUCUCCCCCACCAUCUCACCUACUCGCCCAGCCUCCCAUCUACUGGACACACUAAGGAAAAAUCUAGAGUGCCUCCGCCCGGCCGCGCCAUCUGGGAAGUGAGGAGCGCCUCUGCCCGGCCGCCCAUCGUCUGGGAUGUGAGGAGCGCCUCUGCCGGGCCGCCCCAUCUGGGAAGAAGUGAGGAGCGUCUCUGCCCGGCCACCCCGUCUGGGAAGAAGUGAGGAGCGCCUCUACCCGGCCACCCCGUCUGGGAAGAAGUGAGGAGCGUCUCUGCCCGGCCGCCCCGUCUGGGAAGUGAGGAGCACCUCUGCCCGGCCGCCCAUCGUCUGGGAAGUGAGGAGCGCCUCUGCCCGGCCACCCCGUCUGGGAAGUGAGGAGUGCCUCUGCCCGGCCACCCCGUCUGGGAGGUGAGGAGUGCCUCUGCCCGGCCACCCCGUCUGGGAAGAAGUGAGGAGCACCUCUGCCCGGCCACCCCGUCUGGGAAGAAGUGAGGAGCGUCUCUGCUCAGCCGCCCCGUCUGGGAAGUGAGGAGAGCCUCUGCCCGGCCGCCCCGUCUGGGAUGUGGGGAGCGCCUCUACCUGGCUGCCCCGUCUGGGAGGUCUACCACGGAGGCCAGACGCAAUGUGGGGGCUGGACGUGGUGGUUCACGCCUGUAGUCCCAGCACUCUGGGAGGCCGAGGCGGGUUGAUCACUUGAGGCUAGGAGUUCGAGACCAGCCUGGCCAACAUGGCGAAACAUAUGAAAAAUACAACAAACCAACCAACCAACCCAGCAACAACAAAACAGGUCUACCCUGGAGUCAUACUCUAAUUUUUCUAUUUUCCUCCCUUUCUGAUCCUUUAUCCCACUUCCUUUUUCUUCCUCUUCCUUCUCCUUCUUCUUUGUCAAAUAGAGGAUUGAGUUAUUAUCAUUGAUCCAUACAAAGUCCCUCUCUCAUUUAUUUUCUUUAAUUCCCACCCCCCAUUUCUAUUCCCCAUCUUCCCAUGUGCAACCUUCCUAAUAUGUUUGAUAUGUAUCUUUUUGUUUGUAUGUAUUUUUAGAAAAUGUUUAUUGUUUUGUGUGCAAAAAAAAUUAAUAAAAAAAAAAAUAAGAAGAAAAAAAAA